rnacentral:rRNA from 1 species
GACGAACGCUGGCGGCGUGCUUAACACAUGCAAGUCGAACGGAAAGGCCCUGCUUUUGUGGGGUGCUCGAGUGGCGAACGGGUGAGUAACACGUGAGUAACCUGCCCUUGACUUUGGGAUAACUUCAGGAAACUGGGGCUAAUACCGGAUAGGAGCUCCUGCUGCAUGGUGGGGGUUGGAAAGAUUCGGCGGUUGGGGAUGGUAUCGCGGCUUAUGAGCUUGUUGGUGGGGUAGUGGCUUACCAGGGCUUUGACGGGUAGCCGGCCUGGGAGGGUGACCGGCCACAUUGGGCCUGAGAUACGGCCCAGAAUCCUACGGGAGGCAGCAGUGGGGAAUAUUGCACAAUGGGCGGAAGCCUGAUGCAGCAGCGCCGCGUGCGGGAUGACGGCCUUCGGGUUGUAAACCGCUUUCGCCUGUGACGAAGCGUGAGUGACGGUAAUGGGUAAAGAAGCACCGGCUAACUACGUG